GUGGUGACGAAAGCUUUAGGUGGUCGGUAAUGGGAGGGGGUUGGACCCAAAAAGGAAGAACGCCGGGCGAGUUGAUAAGGAACUGAAGCGACAGACUUAUAGGAAAAUUGGACUGGACUUCAAUCAUUGUUUAAGAUUUUGAGAAGAAUAACGACAUUGGUAUUAAUGUGAUAGGAUUAGUUGAUGACGUUAUCACAGCAUUGAAGACAGACGGAUGGAAGCACGAGAGGAUCUUGUUUCGCGCGGAAUUAUUUCGGAAACACCAAAAGGAACACAAUAUCCUCAAUUUGAAGGAUUCAAUGUGGUAACGCUUGGUGGACAGACCCUGCUCCGGUACAAAGGUUUAUGGUAUGAGGUACAUAGAUGGUGUAAGUUGUCCGAGGUAAUGGGGAAGUGGCAAGAAGAACACGUUGAGUAGUUUUAAUAUUCACAUGAGUAUUAAAAAAGCAGUUUACCGAUGAAUAUGAACCUGGGUUUGCUAUUGAGUUAUAAUACUAUGUGAUUAAUAUUUCUCUAGAUUCAAUAUGAUCUAUUUCAUCAUUCUACUGCAAGGUGUUGGAACAUUAUUACCAUGAAACUUUUGUAACACAGCACAUGCAGUAGUUUUCGAAACUCCCCAUAGAUUAAAUACAGAAAGUUUUAAAAAUAAGAACUAUGAGUAGGAUUUCAAAGGUGAUUGGAAUCAGUAGACAACAAAUUAGGCAUAGUUUUAUCAACCGUCUCACCUUUUGUUUCGUCGUAUUUUUUACCGUUGCAUUUACGUAUCCGAUUGGCGUACGGACAUCCGUGCUGACACCUCCUUUUUCAAAGCUUAGACCGAUAGCAAACAUUUUUUUCUGUUGUGAUUUUCUCUUCCACAUUAGUAGGUUUUGUAAAUAAGCAUCCCAUUUAUUUUUUACUUUUUUUUCUUUUUCUUUCUCUUUGUUUUCGGAUAUUCUUUUACUGCGUUCAAGUUUUCCUUUGGAUAACAGUCACCCUUGUUUACGUAUUUAUAGUUUUUAACAUUAGAGCUGAUUUAUCCAACUUUAGCGUCUGCAGCACCGAAUGAUAGUCCAUGCACCUUUGCUUACUUUCACACCAAUAUUUAACUCCUCUUCCUUCUUCUGAUUUUUGCUGUAUUUUUCCAUGUUUUAUUUAAUCUCAAAAAUAAAAUGCCAUUUAACAUAAUAGUAGGCAAGACGGCCUGCGGAAAGACCCACUCACUAUCUUAUCAAGAAAUUGAAAACUACCUUCCACAGAAAAUUCGAGAACAUUUUCCUCAUCUGUCCGACAUUCCGUUGGAAUAAAACCUACGACCAGGACUUUAUGUACAACGAUCCCAAUUUGUUUGUGAUCCCCUGCAAGCAGGACGACGUGGAGGACCGUCUGAAAUGUAUUGUGGAUUUUACCAAAGGGCGAGAGUCUCUUAUAAUUUUAGAUGACUGUGCAAGCAACACCUCGGUCAAAAAUCGUGUUGGAGAAUUGGUGACACUUGGAUUUAGCGCUCGACACAUGGGAAUCUCCACCAUCGUCAUCACCCAACAGCUCACAUCCAUAGCAAAACCUUAUCGCGAGAAUAUUUCCAAAUUAAUUACAUUUUACAAUCCGAACAGAGCAGACAUGAAAAUCACUUUAGACGAGUAUCUGGAGGUUGAUGGGGACGAAAUGAAAUCCAUUAAGAGACAGCUAAAGGAGAUUAACUUAGUUCAUCCGUAUAAUCAUGAGAUAAAGACGUAAACUGAAGUGUAGACUGAAGUUCCUGCUGUAUAAUAAAUAAUGGAAUCAGAACUACCAGUGAUUGACGAGGCACCGCACGGGGAGGCUGAGGACACGAAGGAACCAGACUACCGAGCGGAGCUAAUACGCUUGUCAAACGCAGGUGCGAUCACCCAAUCCGAAAAAUAUCUUAGGAAAGCUUCUGACAAAGUCAUUGCUAAGAUUCACAGGGAGUACAUUAUAACACAGAGGAAAAAGGCUAACACCCUGCUGACGGAAACAUCGAUAAGUUCUCCGCAUUGUUGGAAGCUAUUAGGGACCUUUAGCAAAUAGGUGACAGCAACGCGACGACGACGGCCAAAACAAACUCGUUCAAAUAAGUAACUUUAAGAUCAACAUGUCUUGUAUUAUCCGUUGUAUGAAUGUAUUGCAAUUUAGAAGGUUAAGACAGAGGUUUAUAGUUGAGAAGACUUCUACUAAGCCAAUUUGGCGAGGACGAUUUCUCGCUGCUUUUAAAGGCAGACG